rnacentral:lncRNA from 1 species
AUUCUUUUGUUUAUAAUGGCAGGAAAACUACCCUGGUGCCUUUGACGCCUCAAGAAGUUUACCAAGAUCAAGUACAGCUCAAGCAAAAGGAAAAACCAGUCACAAAACCCUCUAAUUUCUUUCUUAGGGCCGGUAAAGUUAAGAAAGCUUUGUUAGCUAAACAACCGAUGCUCUUAUUUGUGAUUAAAGAAGUUCUCACGAGCUUAACUAACUUGACACCGGUUAUACCGAGUGAGAUGAAAUCUCUUUUGCAGGACUAUGAGGACGUGUUUCCUGAAGAGAACCCCAAGGGUUUACCUCCCAUCAGAGGAAUCGAACAUCAAAUAGAUUUCAUGCCCGGAGCUUCCCUUCCGAAUCGUCCAGCCUACAGAACCAACCCUGUGGAGACCAAAGAACUACAACGCCAAGUUAAUGAGCUGUUAGAGAAAGGGUACAUAAGGGAAACCUUGAGUCCUUGUGCGGUGCCUGUCCUACUUGUGCCUAAGAAAGACGGUAGCUGGCGCAUGUGUGUUGAUUGUAGAGCAAUCAACAAUAUUACGGUUAAAUAUCGACACCCUAUCCCUAGAUUAGAUGAUAUGCUUGAUGAAUUGCAUGGUUCUAGUGUCUUUUCUAAAAUAGAUUUGAAAAGUGGCUAUCAUCAGAUUAGAAUGAAGGAAGGGGAUGAGUGGAAAACCGCCUUUAAAACUAAGCAUGGAUUAUAUGAAUGGUUAGUAAUGCCGUUUGGGCUAACAAACGCACCUAGCACCUUCAUGCGGUUAAUGAAUCAUAUUCUUAGAGCUUUUAUAGGUAUAUUUGUUGUGGUAUAUUUUGAUGACAUUCUGAUCUAUAGCAAAACCUUAGGAGAGCAUGUUGAACAUUUGAAAUCUGUUUUAGAAGUGCUUAGGAAGGAAAAGCUUUUUGCUAAUCUUAAGAAAUGCACAUUUUACACAGAUAAGCUUGUGUUUCUAGGUUUUGUUGUAGGUGCGGAUGGAAUCAGGGUCGAUGAAGAGAAAAUAAGGGCCAUCAAAGACUGGCCGAACCCUAAAACUGUUGGAGAAGUGAGGAGUUUCCACGGCCUUGCGGGCUUUUAUAGGAGAUUUGUGAAGGAUUUCAGUACAUUGGCCGCUCCCCUAACCGAGAUCAUCAAGAAAGAUGUGGGAUUUAAGUGGGAACAAGCACAAGAAGAAGCGUUUCAAAUACUUAAGGAUAAACUAACCAAUGCACCGGUACUUUUCUUACCUGAUUUCCUUAAGACUUUUGAGAUUGAAUGUGAUGCUUCUGGUGUAAGAAUUGGAGCUGUCUUAAUGCAAGACAAGAAACCCGUGGCCUACUUUAGUGAAAAACUCGGAGGAGCCAUGCUGAACUAUCCUACUUACGAUAAAGAACUCUAUGCCUUGGUGCGAGCACUCCAAACGUGGCAACAUUAUCUGUGGCCCAAGGAAUUCGUUAUUCAUACCGACCAUGAGUCUCUCAAGCAUUUAAAAGGACAACAAAAGCUCAACAAACGACAUGGCCGAUGGAUCGAGUUCAUUAAGACAUUUCCUUAUGUUAUCAAGUACAAGAAAGGUAAAGACAAUGUAGUUGCCGAUGCCUUGUCACGCAGGUAUGCUCUAAUUACUACUCUUGAUGCCAAGCUAUUAGGCUUUGAACAGCUUAAGCUCUUCUAUGCAUCCGAUUCUGACUUUAAAGAGAAAUAUCAGUCUUGUGAAAAAUUUGCUAAGGAUCAUUAUUUUAGACAAGAAGGAUACCUCUUCUAUGAUAAUCGUUUGUGUAUUCCUAAUUGUUCUAUUCGAGAUCUUUUAGUCAGGGAAGCACACGGAGGAGGUCUUAUGGGGCACUUUGGUAUAACAAAAACUUUGAAAAUCAUGCAAGACCACUUCUAUUGGCCGCAUAUGAAAACAGACGUAGAGAGGAUCUGCGAACUAUGUGUCACUUGUAAACAAGCUAAGUCCAAAGUCAGGCCACACGGUUUGUAUACUCCCUUACCUAUUCCCUCUCGUCCUUGGAUCGAUAUAUCUAUGGACUUUGUGCUUGGAUUGCCUAGGACUAGGACUGGGAAGGAUUCUAUAUUUGUUGUGGUAGACAGGUUCUCAAAAAUGGCUCAUUUUAUAGCUUGUAACAAAACCGAUGAUGCAUCUCAUAUAGCUAGCUUGUUCUUUAAAGAAAUUGUGCGUCUGCAUGGAGUGCCUAAGAACAUCGUAUCCGAUCGUGACACGAAAUUCCUUAGUUAUUUCUGGAAAACAUUGUGGUCUAAGUUAGGUACUAAGCUUCUAUUUUCUACUACUUGUCAUCCACAAACUGAUGGGCAAACUGAAGUAGUUAAUAGGACCUUAUCCACUUUGUUGCGUGUUCUAGUCAAAAAGAAUCUUAAAAGUUGGGAAGAUUGCUUACCGCAUGUAGAGUUUGCAUAUAAUCACUCGAUGCAUUCCACUUCUAAGUUUUCCCCAUUUCAAAUUGUCUAUGGUUUUAGUCCUUUGUCUCCUUUGGAUCUAACCCCUCUUCCUUUGAGUGAGAGAACUAGUCUCGAUGGAAGAAGAAGGCAGAACUUGUUAAAAAGAUCCAUGAGAAGGCUAAACUCAACAUAGAAGAAAAGACCAAGCUCUAUGUCAAGAAAGCAAAUAAGAACCGGCGAGAGAUGAUUUUCGAAGUUGGCGAUCAAGUUUGGGUACAUUUGAGGAAAGAACGGUUCCCAGCCGAGAGAAAGUCCAAACUGAUGCCAAGAAUUGAUGGACCUUUCACCAUAACAAGAAUAAUCAACAACAAUGCUUAUCAGCUUGAUCUCCGAGGUAAGUAUAAUAUCAGUUCUAGUUUUAAUGUUUCUGACCUUGUUCCUUUUGUGGCAGAUGAACCAGAUUUGAGGUCAAAUCCUUUUCAAGAGGAGGGGGAUGAUGCGAUCAUGGACAGCCUAGAGGACUUGGAACUUGAAGCUCAAGAAGAUGGACUAGAAGAACAAGAAGAACCGGAUAUAGAGGAAGCUUUGGAGAUGCCAGCUGGUCCAAUAACUAGAUCAAGGAGCAAGAAACUUAAGGAAGCUAUCGGAGCUAUGCUUAGAAUCAGUUGGAGACAAGCCAAUGUCUUGAGCCAGGAGGGAGAAGUUGCUAUACAAGCCGCAUUGGUUUCUAUACAGGCUCAAGAUGAUCAGUGAAUGGGCAUGUGACCCGUUUGCACUCUUUUUCCCUCUCCUUUGGUUUUGUCCCAAUGGGUUUUCCAAAGGGAGGUUUUUAACGAGACAAACGGCUCACAUCAUAUCCCUCAUUCGCUGAUCGAAUAAGAGGCCCAAAACUUGAAGUAUCGACCUGGAGAAGAAGAGUUUCUUUCUUGUUUCUUUCUUAUUCAAACUUAUUCUUUAUUGUCUUAGUAUUUCCGAGACAAGUCUUGGCUGUCACAGACUUGUUCUCUUUCUUUUUAAACCCUUGUACGCUCCUUGUUAAACUCAUCUAUCUUUUCUAUCAAAAACUCUUCUAAGUUAGAUCAUUUGUUCUCUUGAACAUCUUAGCUUGUAAGUGUGUUAUAUCUUCAAGCAAACCGAUUCUUUGGUGAGUCAUAUCCUUAGAAUCACCCUGGUAUAUCAAAGGCCUUCCGCAUCCUUUGUGUGACCAUUCAUUUCCACCAACUUCUACCUAAAGUUCAGAUCCAAAAUCUACUCAACAUCGUGAGAUCUAGUGCUUAGAGUGACGAUCAUAAGGUGGAAUGUAUCAAGUGGUAUCAGAGCCACUCUAAGCAAGGAUCGACGUGGAUCAGGUUGUGUCUAAUCUAUUUAUACGUUUAGAUCUGUUCUAUCAUGUUAAAAACGAUCUCAAAUUUUAAAUCUUGAUCAGCAAACCUAGUUUGUCACAAUCUGUGUUUGUUGCAUCACAAAUCUAUAGAUCGUUUCAUUCUGUUCUUGAAUCUAGAAAAUCAACAUCAUCGGAACCUUGUUUAAAAGUGUCGUUUCAAAUUCAAACUGAUUAGAUCGCCCUUAGGGUUUUCCGAUUGCUUGAAGAACACGAAUGGUCAUUUUUAUAGAAUAAUCGUUGCUAGUAAUCCACUUUGUGUUGUUUGCAGGAAAGGAUGUCUGAUAAUCGUGAAGAAUCCAGCAACAACAGUAACAAGCUUUUGAUGGAAGCAAUGAUGGCCGAGAUGAAAAAGCUGAUGGCCGCUCAGUUCGAAGAAUUCAGACAAGAGAUCCAACAAUCAGAACUCUGACUACAGGCCGAACCGAGACGCCAGGAGAAGAAAUACUGAUCAAUCUCCGGAGAGGGCUCGUGAACAAACCCGACCAGCCAGAGACGAGGCGGCUGAAGAAUAUUAUAGCCGAGACAGUAACUCGUCAAGGAGCAAUCGCCGACGACAUAGACGAGUAAGAGAGGAAAGGGCAUAUCCUCAAGACAAUUUUGGAGGACUUAAGCUUUGGAUUCCUCCCUUCCAUGGGAAGAACGAUCCUGAUGCCUACUUAGAAUGGGAAAAGAAGAUAGAGUUGGUGUUUAACUGCCAACACUAUACCGAGAUCAAUCGCGUAAGAGUUGCUGCUACUGAGUUUUAUGACUACGCUCUUAGUUGGUGGGAUCAGUUAGUUACAUCAAGAAGAAGGAACGGCGAGUACCCAGUUGAGAGUUGGAAUGAGAUGAAGGCCAUCAUGAGAAAACGGUUUGUGCCAAGCCACUACCAUCGAGAACUACAUCAGAGGAUCAGGAGGCUUACUCAAGGGACCCGGUCUGUCGAAGACUAUUACCAAGAGAUGGAGACUCUCAUGCUUAGAGCCGAUAUAACUGAAGAUCGAGAAGCUACCAUGUCAAGGUUUUUGGGGGGCUUGAACAGAGAAAUUCAAGAUCGCUUGGAAAUGCAACAUUAUGUUGAGGUGGAGGAGAUGUUACACAAAGCCAUACUGAUCGAGCAACAGCUCAAGAGGCGUGUUCCCACUAAGACAAGUUAUGGAGGUGGAGCAACCGUUACUAAACCCUUUUACCCGAAAGAAGAAAAGGCAGGAUCUAUUCAGAGGGAAGGAAAACAGAUCGCUUACCCAAAAGCUGAAGCCAAGUCGUAUCCAGCUGCUCAAGAUCACAAAGGAAAGACUGAAACUACGAAUACAAGGUCGAGAGAUGUCAAGUGCUUCAAGUGUCAAGGCAGGGGACAUUACGCGAAUGAAUGUUCAAACCGAAAGAACAUGAUUCUGUUGGAUAAUGGAGAUAUAGCGACUGAUGAGGAAGAGCCUGAGGUUGUAGCUGAGACAGAUCAUGAGGAACUUCCGGCUCAAGGGGCUUUGUUAGUAGCUAGACGAUCUCUAAGUCUCCAAUCCAAAGAUGCUGAGCAGGAACAAGGAGAGAACCUAUUUCACACUCGGUGUAUCGUUCAAGAAAGAGUCUGUAGCCUCAUUAUAGAUGGCGGAAGAUGCACCAAUGUGGCUAGUGAAGUGAUGGUUCAAAAGCUCGGUUUAAAGAUGGAGAAGCACUCGAAGCCGUAUAAGCUGCAAUGGCUCAAUGACAAUGGAGAAUUGAAAGUGAACCAUCAAGUUCGAGUACCUUUGUCUAUUGGGAAAUAUGAGGAUGAAAUCCUCUGUGAUGUCUUACCAAUGGAAGCAGGGCAUAUUCUUGGCCGGCCAUGGCAAUCGGAUUGAAAGGUCAUACAUGAUGGAUAUACUAAUCGGCAUUCUUUUGUUUAUAAUGGCAGGAAAACUACCCUGGUGCCUUUGACGCCUCAAGAAGUUUACCAAGAUCAAGUACAGCUCAAGAAAAAGGAAAAACCAGUCACAAAACCCUCUAAUUUCUUUCUUAGGGCCGGUAAAGUUAAGAAAGCUUUGUUAGCUAAACAACCGAUGCUCUUAUUUGUGUUUAAAGAAGUUCUCACGAGCUUAACUAACUUGACACCGGUUAUACCGAGUGAGAUGAAAUCUCUUUUGCAGGACUAUGAGGACGUGUUUCCUGAAGAGAACCCCAAGGGUUUACCUCCCAUCAGAGGAAUCGAACAUCAAAUAGAUUUCAUGCCCGGAGCUUCCCUUCCGAAUCGUCCAGCCUACAGAACCAACCCUGUGGAGACCAAAGAACUACAACGCCAAGUUAAUGAGCUGUUAGAGAAAGGGUACAUAAGGGAAACCUUGAGUCCUUGUGCGGUGCCUGUCCUACUUGUGCCUAAGAAAGACGGUAGCUGGCGCAUGUGUGUUGAUUGUAGAGCAAUCAACAAUAUUACAGUUAAAUAUCGACACCCUAUCCCUAGAUUAGAUGAUAUGCUUGAUGAAUUGCAUGGUUCUAGUGUCUUUUCUAAAAUAGAUUUGAAAAGUGGCUAUCAUCAGAUUAGAAUGAAGGAAGGGGAUGAGUGGAAAACCACCUUUAAAACUAAGCAUGGAUUAUAUGAAUGGUUAGUAAUGCCGUUUGGGCUAACAAACGCACCUAGCACCUUCAUGCGGUUAAUGAAUCAUAUUCUUAGAGCUUUUAUAGGUAUAUUUGUUGUGGUAUAUUUUGAUGACAUUCUGAUCUAUAGCAAAACCUUAGGAGAGCAUGUUGAACAUUUGAAAUCUGUUUUAGAAGUGCUUAGGAAGGAAAAGCUUUUUGCUAAUCUUAAGAAAUGCACAUUUUACACAGAUAAGCUUGUGUUUCUAGGUUUUGUUGUAGGUGCGGAUGGAAUCAGGGUCGAUGAAGAGAAAAUAAGGGCCAUCAAAGACUGGCCGAACCCUAAAACUGUUGGAGAAGUGAGGAGUUUCCACGGCCUUGCGGGCUUUUAUAGGAGAUUUGUGAAGGAUUUCAGUACAUUGGCCGCUCCCCUAACCGAGAUCAUCAAGAAAGAUGUGGGAUUUAAGUGGGAACAAGCACAAGAAGAAGCGUUUCAAAUACUUAAG